GAUUACUGCUUCCAGACACCAGAGGAGAGAAGAGGAGAGCAGGGUGGUGGGGAGAUCAGGCAGGAGAUCCUUCAGCUGCAUGCAGAGCUGUCUAUCUCAUGAAGUCCAGCGUGGCUGUCUCAAUUAGCAGCUUCAGGUCAAGGAGGCGAGGCUACAGCCGGUCCGGGGGAGAAAGGGAGUUUGAUACGGAGCGAACCACAUUGCAAUCC